rnacentral:rRNA from 1 species
GAUGAACGCUGGCGGCGUGCUUAACACAUGCAAGUCGAGCGGACGGACGCGGAGCUUGCUUUUUUGUUGUUAGCGGCGGACGGGAGUGUAACGUGUGGAAACCGUACCUAUCUGACUGGGAUCACUUCGGGAAACCGGCGCUAAUCCCGGAGAAUAUUUUGCACCGUAUUGUUGAAUAGAGAAAGUCGGCCUUGCUGUCUCUUAUAGAUGGAUCUGGGCUGCAUUAGCUAGUUGGGAAGGUAAAGGGGUUUCAAGGCAAGUAUGCAUAGCCGAACUGAGAGGGUGAUCGGCCGCACUGGAGCGGGAACGCGGUCCUGACUCCUGCGAGAGGCAGCAGUAGGGAAUCGGACGCAAUGGGCGGAAGCCUGGCGGAGCGACGCCGCGUGAGAGAUGAAGAUCCUCGGAGCGUAAAACUCGGUUAUUAGUGAAGAACAUAUUUGGAAGGAACUGUGCACAGCGUGACGGUACCGAAUAAGAAAGCCACGGCUAACUACGUG